rnacentral:rRNA from 1 species
GGGGGGGGGGGGGGGGGGGUGGGGGCGUGGGGGGGGGAGGGGGAGGGCCGGGGGGGUGGGGGGGUUGGGGGGGAGCGGGUGGGUAGGAGGUGGGGAACCUGCCCUUUACUCUGGGCUAGGGCUGGGACACUGGGUCUCAUACUGGAUGUGCCUUCUCGUCGCAUGGUGGGGGGUGGCAGGCUUGAUUGGUCUUGGCUGGACUCGCGGCCUAUCAGCUUGUUGGUGAGGUACUGGCUAACCCAGGCGACGACGGGUAGCCGGACUGAGAUGGUGACAGGCCACACUGGGACUGAGACAAGGCAGAGACGCCUAAGGGAGGAAGCAGGGGGGAAUAUGGCACAAUGGGAGCAAGUCGGAGGCAGCGACGCCGCGUGAGGGAUGACGGCCUGCGGGGUGUAAACAGCUUCCAGUAGGGAAGAAGCGAGAGUGACGGUACCUGAAGAAGAAGCGCCGGCUAACUACGUG